GUUCCUUGCGUAUUGUAUAGAUAUUAUUUGCAGUUAAGAAAAAUAUGCCAAUAUUAAACAUUAUGAGCAGUAAACAGGGUCCAUGGAAAUAGAUCAUGGCAGACCAAUCAUCAACUGGAAAGUUGUAUUGUUUUAAGUGUGUAUCUCCAAUGCCCGACUUGAGACCAUUUGGUAAAUUUGAGUUUUGUAAACUGGCUGUGACUAUUGUCAUCAAAGCCGGCAUGCCCCAAGCGUAGAGGGAAUAGUAAAGAAAUCGUUUACGCUUCGUUACGUUUUGAACUGCGCCUUGGGUGACACGUAAAUUUUUCCAAAGAUCGAAGCAGAUCACAUUCAGCCAGAAGAAGACGGCAGUAAUGAAGAAGUAUGCCACAAAACCUGUUGAGAUCAAGUUUUCGUUUUACUGUACUAAAAAUAAGUGUAUAAGGUCUACAGAAAUCUUCGAUAAAAUUGGAUAUGUUUAGGCAAAAAUAGUUUGAGAUAAGCCAUCCAACGUACAAAACAAUAAGCGAUACAAUGAAAUUAUAUCGAUAAACUUACCGAUAAUAGCGCAAACAACUUUUUCAUAAUAUGUAUGUUGCAGAUUGACUAAAACAAUCAACGUUGUACCAAUCGCUAACGAAAGUAGAUAACUAAUCAAGCACUUGGUGUGCAAGUUCCACAAUUCCGGUAUGAGCCAAUAGAUCAGUAUGGUGGCAUAAAGAAAUGGCGCCGAAAUCAGCAUGACUGGAACGGUAAAAAAAAUAUUAUAUGCUCCUGAUUCUCUUUCUACUCGUUCUCUCCGGUGUCUCUUUCACUUACUUAUCGUAUUUAACUUUAGCGUUGGUGGGUCGUCAGAUCGCCCACAGUUCAUUGGAUUCAAUACAAACCCCUCACUCGUAUUAUAAGCGUGUAAGCAAUAAUCUCUCCUUGAGAAAUAUUUCGCAUCGCUUGUGCGCAACAACGUGCCGUUCUGUAAAAAAUAUUCAUAAAAAGACAACCUCUUCAGUUGAAGAUGUCGCACUCGUAACUGUUUUUCCUACCUCAAACAAUUCCCAAUGAUCCUCUUCGUACUUGUGUGGCAUUAGCAUAUAGCCACCACUGUAGCACGGUAUCCCCUGCUGCACCACAAACUCAUCCAACAUAUGCAUCACGACACGACUGUUGUUUCGCAGAGUUACAUUUACGUAUGGUGAAUAUGUGCGCUCCCCAUUAAGUACUUCUCUACAUUGCAGCGUGUAACCAGUGAUGAGACUUAUUCUAUACAUAUUCGCCCUUGGAUGACAGCAGAACUUUACACAUUGUUUGAUCUUGCACACACAGCCGCGUGUAUGUCUCUCUACGGGCUUACGCACACCUUCGUAAAGCUCAAUAUAGUUAUAUUCGGCUAUCAAUUGUGGUGGCACCAACACC